UACGGGGGGAGCAAGCGUUGUUCGGAUUUACUGGGCGUAAAGGGCGCGUAGGCGGCCACCGCAAGUCAGUUGUGAAAUCUCUGGGCUUAACCCAGAAAGGUCAACUGAUACUGCGGGGCUAGAGUGCAGAAGGGGCAACUGGAAUUCCUGGUGUAGCGGUGAAAUGCGUAGAUAUCAGGAGGAACACCGGUGGUGUAGACGGCUUUCUGGACCGUAACUGACGCUGAGACACGAAAGCGUGGGUAGCAAACAGG
rnacentral:rRNA from 1 species